UACGGGGGAUGCAAGCGUUAUCCGGAAUGAUUGGGCGUAAAGCGUUUGAACAGGUGGUUUAAAAAGUCGAUUGUUAAAACCCAAGGCUUAACCUUGGACUGGCAAUGGAAACUUUUAGACUAGAGUAUGGUAGAGGUAGAUGGAAUUACCGGUGUAACGGUGAAAUGUGCAGAUAUCGGUAAGAACCCCAAAGGCGAAAGCAAUCUACUGGGCCAAAACGGACACUUAAGAACGAAAGCUAGGGGAGCGAAUAGG
rnacentral:rRNA from 1 species